rnacentral:lncRNA from 1 species
ACUGAGCCAUCUAGCAAGGCAACAACUGAGCAGCUCAGACUCGUGGCAAAGCUGACAUUUGAAACCAGUUGGGUGUUCCCAUCCUGCAUUUUUUGUACCAACUAAAGUAUUACAAAGCCUUAGGAUUCAUACAUUUGUCCACGUCUAUGUUUUAAGAAGAGAAAGACAGAAUUUCCUGAAAGGAUUUUGGCAGACAUGGAUUACUGUUAAAAUCCAACCCGGAAAUUGAAGCAAUCCUAAGCAUCUUUGUUUACCAGCAUUACCGCUCCAAACCAUCUGUACUUAAUUGUAAAACAACAAAUUGUCUAAAAACCAGUGAGGAUUAAAAGGACAAAGCUUCUUAUGGACAGUUUAUAUUAAAGAAAUUCAAAGACUGCUAAGAUCACAGCACUCCUCGUGUAGUUGUUUUAUUUCAGUCAAGUCCCAAUGUUUGUG